CCUCCCUACGGGGCGCAGCAGUGAGGAAUAUUGGUCAAUGGGCGAGAGCCUGAACCAGCCAAGUCGCGUGAGGGAAGACGGUCCUAUGGAUUGUAAACCUCUUUUGCCGGGGAGCAAAAAGCGGUACGUGUACCGCAUCGAGAGUACCCGGAGAAAAAGCAUCGGCUAUCUCCGUGCCAGCAGCCGCGGUAAUACGGAGGAUGCGCGCGUUAUCCGGAUUUUUUGGGUUUAAGGGGUGCGCAGGCGGGGAGUUAAGUCAGCUGUCACAUCGGGGGGCUCAACCCCAUCCAGCUGUUGAAACUGGG
rnacentral:rRNA from 1 species